GACGAACGCUGGCGGCGUGCUUAACACAUGCAAGUCGAACGGAAAGGCCCUGCUUUUGUGGGGUGCUCGAGUGGCGAACGGGUGAGUAACACGUGAGUACCUGCCCUUGACUUUGGGAUAACUUCAGGAAACUGGGGCUAAUACCGGAUAGGAGCUCCUGCUGCAUGGUGGGGGUUGGAAAGUUUCGGCGGUUGGGGAUGGACUCGCGGCUUAUCAGCUUGUUGGGGGGGUGGUGGCUUACCAAGGCUUUGACGGGUAGCCGGCCUGAGAGGGUGACCGGCCACAUUGGGACUGAGAUACGGCCCAGACUCCUACGGGAGGCAGCAGUGGGGAAUAUUGAACAGUGGGCGGAGGCCUGAUGAAGCAACGCCGCGUGCGGGAUGACGGCCUUCGGGUUGUAAACCGCUUUAGCCUGUGACGAAGCGUGAGUGACGGUAAUGGGUAAAGAAGCACCGGCUAACUACGUG
rnacentral:rRNA from 1 species